GAUGAACGCUAGCUACAGGCUUAACACAUGCAAGUCGAGGGGUAACGAGAGGAAAGCUUGCUUUCCUUGUCGACGACCGGCGCACGGGUGAGUAACGCGUAUCCAACCUGCCCCCAACUAGGGAAUAACCUUGCGAAAGUAAGACUAAUACCCUAUAAUUUCCUCAGAUGUCAUCUGACGAGGAAUAAAGAUUUAUCGGUUGUGGAUGGGGAUGCGUCUGAUUAGCUUGUUGGCGGGGUAACGGCCCACCAAGGCAACGAUCAGUAGGGGUUCUGAGAGGAAGGUCCCCCACAUUGGAACUGAGACACGGUCCAAACUCCUACGGGAGGCAGCAGUGAGGAAUAUUGGUCAAUGGGCGGGAGCCAGAACCAGCCAAGUAGCGUGCAGGAUGACGGCCCAAUGGGUUGUAAACUGCUUUUAUACAGGAAUAAAGUUAGCCACGUGUGGUUAUUUGUAGGUACUGUAUGAAUAAGGACCGGCUAAUUCCGUGCCAGCCGCCGCAGUAA
rnacentral:rRNA from 1 species